rnacentral:tRNA from 1 species
CGGGAUGAAGGGGAUACGGUGCCCCGCGUGCCUUGGGAGCACGAGCAAGUCGGUUCGAGUCCGACCUUCCCGA